GAUGAACGCUAGCUACAGGCUUAACACAUGCAAGUCGAGGGGAAACGAUAGAGAAAGCUUGCUUUUUCUAGGCGUCGACCGGCGCACGGGUGAGUAACGCGUAUCCAACCUGCCCAUCACUUGGGGAUAACCUUGCGAAAGUAAGACUAAUACCCAAUGAUAUCUCUAGAAGACAUCUGAAAGGGAUUAAAGAUUUAUCGGUGAUGGAUGGGGAUGCGUCUGAUUAGCUUGUUGGCGGGGUAACGGCCCACCAAGGCGACGAUCAGUAGGGGUUCUGAGAGGAAUGUCGCCCACAUUGGAACUGAGACACUGGCCAAACUCCUACUGGAGGCAGCAGUGAGGAAUAUUGGUCAAUGGGCGAGAGCCUGAACCAGCCAAGUAGCGUGCAGGAUGACGGCCCUAUGGGUUGUAAACUGCUUUUAUAAGGGAAUAAAGUGAGUCUCGUGAGACUUUUUGCAUGUACCUUAUGAAUAAGGACCGGCUAAUUCCGUGCCAGCCGCCGCAGUAA
rnacentral:rRNA from 1 species